rnacentral:tRNA from 1 species
ACCUGGGUGGCUCAGUCGGUUGAGCGUCUGACUUCGGCUCAGGUCAUGAUGUUGAGGUUUGUGAGUUCGAGCCCCGCAUCGGGCU